rnacentral:rRNA from 1 species
GAUGAACGCUGGCGGCGUGCCUAAUACAUGCCAGUCGAGCGAACAGACGAGGAGCUUGCUCCUCUGACGUUAGCGGCGGACGGGUGAGUAACACGUGGAUAACCUACCUAUAAGACUGGGAUAACUUCGGGAAACCGGAGCUAAUACCGGAUAAUAUAUUGAACCGCAUGGUUCAAUAGUGAAAGAAGGUUUUGCUGUCACUUAUAGAUGGAUCCGCGCCGCAUUAGCUAGUUGGUAAGGUAACGGCUUACCAAGGCAACGAUGCGUAGCCGACCUGAGCGGGUGAUCGGCCACACUGGAACUGAGAAACGGUCCCGACUCCGACGGGAGGCAGCAGUAGGGAAUCUUCCGCAAUGGGCGAAAGCUUGACGGAGCAACGCCGCGUGAGUGAUGAAGGUCUUCGGAUCGUAAAACUCUGUUAUUAGGGAAGAACAAAUGUGUAAGUAACUAUGCACGUCUUGACGGUACCUAAUCAGAAAGCCACGGCUAACUACGUG